rnacentral:rRNA from 4 species
CGAUCCUAAGACAUAGGGAAAUUCCGUUUGAAAGCGCGCCCUCGUGCGCCGUCCGUCGAAAGGGAAGCCGGUUAAUAUUCCGGCACCUGGAUGUGGAUUCUCCACGGCAACGUAACUGAACGCGGAGACGUCGGCGGGGGUCCUGGGAAGAGUUAUCUUUUCUUCUUGACGGCCUAUCACCCUGAAAUCGGUUUGUCCGGAGCUAGGGUUCAAUGGCCGGCAGAGCCCCGCACCUUUGCGGGGUCCGGUGCGCCCCCGACGACCCUUGAAAAUCCGCGGGAAGGAAUAGUUUUCACGCCAGGUCGUACUCAUAACCGCAGCAGGUCUCCAAGGUGAAAAGCCUCUAGUUGAUAGA